UACGUAGGGUGCGAGCGUUAAUCGGAAUUACUGGGCGUAAAGCGUGCGUAGGCGGUUCGUUAUGUCUGCUGUGAAAUCCCCGGGCUCAACCUGGGAACUGCCUUUGUGACUGCAUAGCUAGAGUACGGUAGAGGGGGAUGGAAUUCCGCGUGUAGCAGUGAAAUGCGUAGAUAUGCGGAGGAACACCGAUGGCGAAGGCAAUCCCCUGGACCUGUACUGACGCUCAUGCACGAAAGCGUGGGGAGCAAACAGG
rnacentral:rRNA from 1 species